GGCCAGACUCCUACGGGAGGCAGCAGUGGGGAAUAUUGCACAAUGGGGGAAACCCUGAUGCAGCGACGCCGCGUGAGUGAAGAAGUAUUUCGGUAUGUAAAGCUCUAUCAGCAGGGAAGAAGUUGACGGUACCUGAGUAAGAAGCCCCGGCUAACUACGUGCCAGCAGCCGCGGUAAUACGUAGGGGGCAAGCGUUAUCCGGAUUUACUGGGUGUAAAGGGAGCGUAGACGGCAGUGCAAGUCUGGAGUGAAAGCCCCGGGCUUAACCCGGGAACUGCUUUGGAAACUGUACGGCUGGAGUGCUGGAGAGGUAAGCGGAAUUCCUAGUGUAGCGGUGAAAUGCGUAGAUAUUAGGAGGAACACCAGUGGCGAAGGCGGCUUACUGGACAGUAACUGACGUUGAGGCUCGAAAGCGUGGGGAGCAAACAGGAUUAGAUACCCCUGUAU
rnacentral:rRNA from 1 species